rnacentral:lncRNA from 1 species
UCGAGAUGAAAAUAGGUCAUUGGUAUGUCUUGUCUCUUGUAGAUGUCCCUUAUAUAAAUCAUAUUUCAGAUUCUGAAUUAUGAUUAGGUGCCUAGUGCCUACUAAAACUCUGUGUUCCCAAUUAAAGCAUAAUUUUGAUUUUCCUUAAGUUUGUUCGUUUGGAUGUCAUAUAAACCCUUGGAGCAUCAGCAUCAGCAAACCCCCUUUUUGGGUUCAUCUUUUCAAUUUUUUAUUAUUAAAUUCUUUUUCUUUUUUUUUUUUGAUUUUUUUUUAAAAAAAAAAAAACUAGACCAAUCGCGGACCGCUACGACACGUAGAGUCCGUGCUACAGUGAUGAACUUUAGGAGAGAGGGAUUCAGUCCAGAGAGCUUUAGGAGAGAGGGUUCAUGUGAUUGAGUUAUUUUAUUAUUUUUUUUUUUUAAUUUUUGUGUGAACUCCCCACAUAAACCCUCAAUACACAUGCUCUUAGCAUACAUGCUUUCUCUAUAUGUAGCAGUUUUAAAGAUUUUUUUCUACAUGUAAGUAAUAAUUUUAAGCGGAGUUUCAAAUCAAAGCAAAGUCUAACUUGAAAUAAAAGAUGAUAUAACAGCUACGAAAGAUUUACUACAUUCAUCGAAAUAUUGCUGGCCUUUAUAGUUAGAAUAAUUGACUUAAAGUGAUUUUGUGUGGUAAUAAAGCCGCCAAAUAUGCGAUAUGGUCAACAACUGUAAAUGAUUUCAUCUAAACUAUUAAAACUGAAGUACAAAUUAAAACUAACCCUUAAACUUACACAAUAUUUACAGCUCAAUGCCAUUGAAUUAAUAUUAACUAUUUUUAUAGAAAAUUAAUCAUUAUUUAUAAAGGGUUAGUCUGUUACAGAUAUUCAAUGCUAUUUACCUGCACAACGAUG